AGCAGCCGCGGUAAUUCCAGCUCCAAUAGCGUAUAUUAAAGUUGUUGCAGUUAAAAAGCUCGUAGUUGAAUUUCGGGGUUAGUAGGUUGGUCGUGCCACUGGUAUGCACUGGCUUUACUGACUCCUCCUUCUUGAAGAACUGUAAUGUCAUUAAUUUGGUGUUGCAGGGAAACAGGACUGUUACUUUGAAAAAUUGAGUGUUUAAAGCAAGGCUAGCGCUUGAAUACAUUAGCAUGGAAUAAUGAAAUAGGACGUUUAAUUCUAUUUUGUUGGUUUCUAGGAUUGACGUAAUGAUUAAUAGGGAUAGUUGGGGGCAUUAGUAUUCAAUUGUCAGAGGUGAAAUUCUUGGAUUUAUUGAAGACUGACUACUGCGAAAGCAUUUGCCAAGGAUG
rnacentral:rRNA from 1 species